rnacentral:rRNA from 1 species
UACGUAGGUGGCGAGCGUUAUCCGGAAUUAUUGGGCGUAAAGAGCGCGCAGGUGGUUGAUUAAGUCUGAUGUGAAAGCCCACGGCUUAACCGCGGAGGGUCAUUGGAAACUGGUCGACUUGAGUGCAGAAGAGGGAAGUGGAAUUCCAUGUGUAGCGGUGAAAUGCGUAGAGAUAUGGAGGAACACCAGUGGCGAAGGCGGCUUCCUGGUCUGUAACUGACACUGAGGCGCGAAAGCGUGGGGAGCAAACAGGAUUAGAUA